GACUGGACUCCAAUGCCUCAGCCAGACAAGAAGUUAAGGCACCUUCCAUAUGAAUUGUUUGCCUUGGUAUGCCAUCUGGGUCUUCAAAAGAAAUGAGAGAAAGGAGAUGAUAUAUGAUAAUGCUAUAAAAUGGUUAACUUUAACUAUGAGUUCCUAUCUCAAAGGUGUGUUACAUUUUAAAAUUGUAAUUGAUGCUUAUGUGAGUGUGCAUGUUUCUUGUGCUUUCUGCUGCAGAAAAUUCUCACUUCAUAGUUAACAAUUUCAUGUAGAUAUAUGAUCAUGCAUUAAUUCAAGAGAAGCAAAAUAGACAAGAUGAGGUAUGUGCACACCAAAACCAGAAUACAUUUCCAAUCCAUUCAUACUAAAGUUUCAUUACAUCAGAAAUCAGGGGGGAAAAAAAUAAAAAAUAAGGACUUAUUCUAUACCCUUUGCACACCCAAAAACAAACAAAUAGGAAUCCAUUUCAGCUGGUUAAUCCUCCUUUACUCUUUUUUUUUUUUUCUUCUCUUUCCUCUAUAUCUUUCAUCAUCAAUCCUAGGUCGGAUAUAGGCGAGUUGCCGAUGUAUAAUUACACUCUGAAUGACUAGGGAUUAUAUAACAGGUUCUGUACAAAUGAUAAAUCAAGACCAAAAACUGGAACACCCAAAACCUUAAAGCUCAAGGAAAAAAACAAAA